AAGGAGACAAACAGUAACAACAUGUUAAUAACUGGAUUCAAAAACUCUGAAGAAGCAUCUUCAGGUUUGUGCUGAGGACUGAAAGAAACAGAUAAAGUUUGCAGACUGACAGCUGAGCAUGCGUGUAAAACGUGAUCCUUUCUGCUCAAACACUGAAUCUGCUGCACAGAUUUUCUCAGACAGAAGAGCCUCACUGAGCUCCAACAGCGUUAUUUCACCUGAUCUGGACCUCAGCUGGUGUUGGACUGAGUCUGUGUGCAGACCAGAGAGAACGGCAUCAACCAAACCAGGAAACACAGGAAAGAGCCAGAGUUCCUGCAGCCACACAGAUGUGUCAUCACUGAUGCCUGUGCUCUGCUGGAGUCUUCUCUAACACUGGAUGCAUUUAUAAGGACAACAACAUCCUGCCUAAAAUAAACUAAUGCAGGUGAACAAGAAUUUUGAGGAGCGUAUCAGGUCACAUUUCACUGCCUGUUGUACUCGUAUAACUAUGCACGUGCCAAAUAAAGAAUCUUGAAACUUGAAUUUUUGUUGUCAUGUUUUGGAAUUAGUUCUGCUGUUUCCAUCAUUUCCUUUCUGUUUUUUGUUAGUCUUCUUCACUUGUUCUCAGCCGGUCCCUCGCUAUGGACACUCACCAGUUUCCUCCUGUCUCUGUUCUUUGUUCUCACUCAGGUCAUGAUGUCCACUGUGGCGUCUUCUCAGUGAUUUUGUGGUGUAAGUUUGUGUUUGCUGUCUUGAUGCAUGUUCAAUCGUCCAGGUACAGAAAUCCCAGAAAGUUGAUUCUGUUCAUGUGGAAGUAGAGAAACUUUUCAUCACUUAUCCAAGUGACUCCUUCAGUCUGCAGGUUGGAUGUUACAUAUUUAUGAUCAUGAAACUGACCUGACUGUUAGUCAGAGGUGCUUGUGUCAGUCCUGAUGUAAAUGUGCUGUUAAUAAGGUUGGAGAGCUGCAGGCAGCUGAGGCUGAAGUUGGAUGAAGGAUGAAACGUUGGUCCAUCCAGACCAACAGAAUCAAAUUUCUGGAGUUUGUGUUUGAUGGUUUCGGUUUUUCUGUUGUUUCUAUUGUUGCUAGUUUAUUCUCUUUGUUGCUGAACUUUGCCUGAUUUUAUUUUAUGUCUUUAUUUGCAAUAAACUGUAAUAAAUUUGUGGA
ensembl:lncRNA